rnacentral:rRNA from 1 species
AGUCACUGACAUUAGAUACCCCGGUAGUCCCAGCCGUAAACAAUGUGCGUUAGGUGUGUCGGUAACCACGUGUUACUGAUGCGCCGAAGAGAAAUCGUGAAACGCACCACCUGGGAAGUACGGUCGCAAGGCUGAAACUUAAAGGAAUUGGCGGGGAGCACCACAACAGGUGGAGCCUGCGGUUUAAUUGGACUCAACGCCGGGAAGCUCACCGGAUAGGACAGCAGAAUGAUUGCCGGGCUGAAGACCCUGCAUGACUAGCUG